rnacentral:rRNA from 1 species
GACAGAGGGUGCAAACGUUGUUCGGAAUUACUGGGCGUAAAGCGCGUGUAGGCGGCUGCGUAAGUCGGGCGUGAAAUCCCACGGCUCAACUGUGGAAGAGCACUCGAAACUGCGUAGCUAGAGUCCUGGAGAGGAAGGUGGAAUACUUGGUGUAGAGGUGAAAUUCGUAGAUAUCAAGUGGAACACCAGUGGCGAAGGCGGCCUUCUGGACAGUGACUGACGCUGAGACGCGAAAGCGUGGGGAGCAAAC